GUUUGAUCCUGGCUCAGGACUUUCGCUGGCGGCGUGCUUAACACAUGCAAGUCUAACGAAGUAUUAAAGCUUGCUUUGAUACUUAGUGGCGGACGGGUGAGUAACGCGUGAGUAAUCUGCCUCAUUCAGGGGGAUAACACAGAGAAAUUUGUGCUAAUACCGCAUAAGACUACGAAAAGGCAUCUUUAUGUAGUAAUAGAUUUUAUCGGAAUGAGAUGAGCUCGCGUCCUAUUAGGCAGUUGGCGGGGUAACGGCCCACCAAACCGACGAUAGGUAGCCGACCUGAGAGGGUGAUCGGCCACAUUGGAACUGAGACACGGUCCAAACACCUACGGGAGGCAGCAGUGGGGAAUAUUGGGCAAUGGGCGCAAGCCUGACCAGCAACGCCGCGUGAGCGAUGAAGGUUUUCGGAUUGUAAAGCUCUGUUUCGAGGGACGAAAACAAUGACGGUACCUCGGGAGGAAGCCCCGGCUAACUACGUGCCAGCAGCCGCGGUAAUACGUAGGGGGCGAGCGUUGUCCGGAAUGACUGGGCGUAAAGGGUGCGUAGGUGGAUGUGCAAGUCAGUAGUGUAAUUCCGAGGCUUAACUUCGGCGCUACUACUGAUACUACACGUCUUGAGUGCAGGAGAGGUAGAUGGAAUUCCUAGUGUAGCGGUGGAAUGCGUAGAUAUUAGGAGGAACACCAGAGGCGAAGGCGAUCUACUGGACUGUAACUGACACUGAGGCACGAAAGCGUGGGGAGCAAACAGGAUUAGAUACCCUGGUAGUCCACGCCGUAAACGAUGGAUACUAAAUGUGGGAGGUAUCGACUCCUUCCGUGUCGCAGCUAACGCAAUAAUAUCCCGCCNUGGGA
rnacentral:rRNA from 1 species